GAUUUCUGGUAGUGCGCAUUUGGCCCGUCUCGGUUACGAGUUUGUGUGCCGGUAUGCGCCUGCCAUCUUUCUGGGGAAUGGCUCGACCUUCACUGGUUGGGUCACUAGCCAGAUCUUUUACUUUGAAAAAAUUAGAGUGUUUAAAGCAGGCUUGUUGCUAUGAAUACAUUAGCAUGGAAUAAUAAUUUAGGACUUUGGUCUUAUUUUGUUGGUUUCUAGGACUAAAGUAAUGAUUGAUAGGGAUAGUUGGGGGUGCUAGUAUUCAGCGGCCAGAGGUGAAAUUCUUGGAUUCGCUGAAGACUAACUUAUGCGAAAGCAUU
rnacentral:rRNA from 1 species